rnacentral:lncRNA from 1 species
AUGGUGGAGGCUUAGACCUAAGUGGAUGGCAUUUGCAUAGGAGCCAAACGCUGCGUGAGUAGCAAGGUUGACAAGGCAGUCAGAAAGAUGGAUUUGCUAAUUAAAGUCCAGAAACUCAACAGUGUUGUGA